CGGGGAAUUUUGGACAAUGGGGGAAACCCUGAUCCAGCCAUCCCGCGUGUGCGAUGAAGGCCUUCGGGUUGUAAAGCACUUUUGGCAGGAAAGAAACGUCAUGGGUUAAUACCCCGUGAAACUGACGGUACCUGCAGAAUAAGCACCGGCUAACUACGUGCCAGCAGCCGCGGUAAUACGUAGGGUGCAAGCGUUAAUCGGAAUUACUGGGCGUAAAGCGUGCGCAGGCGGUUCGGAAAGAAAGAUGUGAAAUCCCAGAGCUCAACUUUGGAACUGCAUUUUUAACUACCGGGCUAGAGUGUGUCAGAGGGAGGUGGAAUUCCGCGUGUAGCAGUGAAAUGCGUAGAUAUGCGGAGGAACACCGAUGGCGAAGGCAGCCUCCUGGGAUAACACUGACGCUCAUGCACGAAAGCGUGGGGAGCAAACAGG
rnacentral:rRNA from 1 species